GCGAAGAUGGCGGAACUGGCAGACGCGCUAGACUUAGGAUCUAGUGCCUUCGGGCGUGGGGGUUCGAAUCCCCCUCUUCGCACCA
rnacentral:tRNA from 1 species